AAGAGACGUUGCCCUUCGGGGUAUACCUCCCACCCUUUGUUUAUUAUACCUUUGUUGCUUUGGCGGGCCCGUCUUCGGACCACCGGCUUCUGCUGGUCAGUGCCCGCCAGAGGACCUAAAACUCUGUUUGUUAAUAUUGUCUGAGUACUAUAUAAUAGUUA
rnacentral:misc_RNA from 1 species